GUCGGGGACAGCGCGGUUGGGGGAGGGCGGCGGGGCCUGAGGGGGCACUAAAAUGGAGGGGCGAGAGGCGCUUUGUCUGCCCGGGGUCGCCGCCUCCCCGCCUGGCUCGGCCCCGCCGCCCCAACUUUCCCCUCAGCCCGCGUGUGGUUUUUUUCUGCCUUUUGAUCCCCCGGUGCAAUGCUGGGACCAGCCGGCUGCCCCUUUCUCCUCCCCUGCAGUUCUAAAAGGAUGCUUAACCUAGCCCUGCGUUCCAGUGAGGGGAUGCUUAAUUUAGUAGUGUUUUGUAGGAAGGGCUUUUAAAAAGCCUGGGGUGUUCUCUUGCCUUUCGUGCAUACACAUGGGAUCAGUGCAUGGCUGGGUAGUCGCGGGGCUCUGGAAAUAAGACUCAGCGUGUUUAAAGAGUGUUGAGGCAGCUUUUCAGCAAGUCGGGAGGAGACUGUCGUGGGUUUCGUGAUGUUCUCCCACCCACGUUAGGCUAUUUAGGUGAAAUUAUUAGCUUGUUCUUUAAAAGGCCUGGAAAUGUAUACUUCAGCUUCUCAUUCUAAGGUAAAUAUUUGAAGAGUCUUCCUUGCUCCAAUUGUUUAUAGUACAGAACCAUUUGGCAUUGAAAUGUCACAAAAAACCAUUUUUCAGUAGCAUUGUUCUCAACCUUGGAAAGCCAUUCAGGGAAAUCAUUGAAAAUACUGACUUUUUUUGCUGUAAUCAAAUUGGUAUUUUCUCCCUUCUUCACUGAUGAGGGUUGUGUCCUGCUAGGAGCAAUUUCCUGAGUACAGCUUGUCUGACUUUGUGACUUUUGGUAACUGUAAUAUCCAUGAGAAUAAGACUUGCAAAGCGUAGUAAGUAACAGUAUCCUGCACUGAGUACUGAAAUGUUUUAAAGUAUCCUUGAUAUUUGAUAAAGGCUCAAACAUUGAUGGAGCUAAUUCACCUUUCUGAGGAAUAAAAGGGGUCAAACCUGAGAGCAAAUUUUGCCCCUUCUAGCAGGGGAUACUGAAAGCAGCAACUGUGUGUGCUGAGUCAAAAAUACCAGCAGACAAGAAGGUGCUAAAAACUCCUUGUAAGAUAAAAAAUCAAUGGCACCUGUAUGGUCUUGGAAAGGGCUCCAGGAAAUGGCAGAAUUCCUGCUUGCCUCAGUAAAGAAUGAGUGACAAAUCCCGAGACUGCCUGAGUGUGACUUCCUUUCUGUGUCAGGUCAGAUGGGCUUCCAGAACCUGAGCCCCUUAUCCAUUUCCUUCAUCUCGUGUGCUGGCAGCCUUUGCAGAUAAGUAGGGUCUGGUUUGGAGCUCACAGUCACCUGUUUAGAAAAACAGGAUUGAAGUGUGUUAGUCUUACCAUGGUAACAAUAAAUAAUGGGUAAAACAACAGUUUCAUCAUACCUAAGUGACCCAAGCUGAAAUGUGUUUCUGCAGAUCUCUCCCGUGCUGCAUCCUCUGCAGGCAAGGGAAAUUGAAGGGAAAAUUGAAUCAUGAAUGGAGGCUACUGUGGAUAAAGGCACACGAGGCUACAGUGGUGGUAGCCAUUCUGAAAACUGAAAUCCUGGCUAGUGCACUAAAAUCUGCAAAAAGACUCUUGAAUCCUUAAACGUUUCUGUUUAUACACCCACAGAUUUCUAUUCCCAUCUCUCUGUUGUAGAGAUGUCAAGGAGAUAUUCUCUCUUAAUUUGCUUUAAAUGGGGAAAGAUUAUCAUCUACUUAUUAAAAAUAGUUGAGCUAAAGAGCACAGAUAAGAUUUUGCUCACCACAGAGAAGAUUUUUUUCUCACAAAUACAGUCCUAUAAUUUUUUCCACCUUUCUGCUAAGUACAGCAUUAAUUUGGUCUGCAGGGUUGCUUGCCCUUUAGCUUCAUAUACUGGAGCAAGAAUGAUUCUCAGAGAUGUUAAUCUGAAAUGUCACAUUUACUCAUGGAUGAGUUGUGAUGCUGUGAUGAAGUUUCUCAUGGACAAGCAACACUUUUUGACCUCAAACCAUAUAAUUUUCCAUAGUUUGUGUAGCUUGAUGUUAAUUGUUUCCUGCUGUGGUGCAGCAGUUUCUAAGAAUAGGAAAUGGAAACUCUUAAUUCCAAAGACCAGCAUUAGAUUCUUAUCAAUGCCAUGGAUUCAAAGAAAUCUGUGAAAUUCUGUGCCUGUUGCCCAGUCAGAGAAGUGGAGGAAUUUGUCCCCUCUGUUUGUGAGCAGUGUGAGUACUUGUUGCUCCUCACCUGUCUGCAGUGUGGAAAUAUGUUACAAGAUGAAAAACUUGUAGUCGUGCAGAAUCUUCCAUUUGAUAACGCUGCUGUGAACUUUCGACAUACUAGAAAGCAGAUGAGAACUUUUCAGAGCCUUGUGCACUGAGGAGAUGCUUUUCCAUUUCAGUUUUGAAUUUGAAGAGAUCUGAUCAAAGCUGGUAGUGCCUGCAGUGAAGUAAAACCUUUUUUACAUCAGCCACUUUCAAGUUAUUUAUUCCCUUUGUGCCUGUGGUGCAAAACUGACUGUGAAACUGUCGUUGGGAACUGCUAAAAACUAGAUUAAAACCAACCUGCAGUAUUUUUGGAAAUGUCACUAUGAUUGCAGACGUCUUAACGUAAAAUAUGGUGAAACUGAGAGACUUGUUUAAUAAGCCAGAAAAAUGAACUGACCUGUAGAUAGACUAUUUUUCUUAAAACAUUUUCUGUAGGAGAACUUGAUUCUCACACUUCAGUUGACAGUAUCUCAGCUGCUUCUUGUAAUGCAAUACUGAAUGGAAAUGAGAUGUUUGGAUCACUGCAAUUUCUGGCAUUUUUGAACUUCCUGCUAUUUUUGACUGCUUCUCUAAGUAUCUGUCCCUUUCAUGUUAACCUUGGCUGACGUAAAGGGCUGUGUGGCACCAAAGCAAGGAUUGGAAAAUGCUGGGGGUGUGUUGGGAUGUGGGAGUCUGUUGUACUCUGCAUGCAUAUGGUCUCAGACUGUUGUACAUUCUUGAUCCCCCAGCUCCUGACCCAUUUAUCCCUCCCAGGGAAGUGCAGAAUAAAUUCUCAAUGUCAGGCAGUGUUCUGACUCCUGGCAGCUGCAGCGACACUUUGUGCUUGCUGUUUGUUGCUCCAGAAUGACUGGGUGCCUCAAGUUCUUGCUUUUCUUCCUAUUCCUUCCUCCCCGCCUCUGCUGGGCACCUGUCAUGCUGCUCUGUUUAUAAUGCACUCAUUUUAGAGUUGGUGGCUUCUUGUUUCCAUCAGUUGCUCCCUGUCUUGGAAGGCAAGGAUAAAUUUAAUAGUGGAGCCUGUGUUGUGAGCAGUACCUCUGCAAAGAUCCUCUGGGCUGCAGGGAAGGAUUUUCUUCUGUAGUAAUUUCCAUCUAGUGGAGACCUUAUUUUUUCACAACUUCUCCUAUUUGUAAGAAAGUAAGACAGUAAGUAAGAUUUUACCUGUUAGAAGACUGCCUAGACUGGACACUGAAACUCAGGCUCCAGAGAAAUCAUUUCUAAGAACAGGAGCAUCCCUGCCUAAAGAGGGUGGGAAUAUUUUCCUAUCUGAAAAUACUGCAGCAGCGUGUUCAGGCACAAAUAAAAUAGCCCUUGAAAUGGGCUGAAUUUUUUCCCCAAAUGAUUAAUCUUUAGCUCGUUCCACUGUCAGUUCCAGGAUGUCAUUUCUGAGAGGUUAUUUUUUAUGCAUUGAAAGGGCAAAUGUGCCUGUACAGUACUAUUGAGCUGCUCUUUUACUUCAUGACCAAGCUGUCAAUUAGUAUUAUACUGUCUGAUCUCCACAAGCUGCCUUCUUGUGGUCCAAAGCAGAGAAACAAACUGUAAACACAACAUAUUUUUCAUAGUGUUCUAUUUUUGCCUUUCUUAGAAGGACUAAGUAACUUGAAGACCCAGAGAAACCUUUUAAAAAGUCAUUAAGACUGAAUAUCCUGCAUUUCUGUGCCAGCUCUUUCAUUGUAGAUGAUAAAAUCCUUGCACUGAAAAUAUGGAUUUCUCAAACCAAGAUGCACUUCUGCAUUUUUGAUUCUUCUGGAGCCAAACCCACUUUUGUUUUCCCAGCUUUUCAGGACAAACAUGUUAAUGUCACAAGAAAUUGAACACACUUGUCUCCUCUGUGCAGGUUUCGUGUUGGACAAAGCAGUGAAAAUGUCACUGGCAGGCAGAGCUGAACCAAAUUUUCUUGUUCUUUCAUCCAUGGCAUCUGUCCUGGGGAGUUUGGGAAGUGCAGCAAAGCAUUGUUUCAUUUUGUGAAGGUUUUCUACAGGCAGGUGACUAAAACUCUGUGAGGAUUAUAACAGUUCAAUAAAAUUUUAUCGGAAAAACCUAGAAAACCUGUGUCUGAAACAGUGUUCAGAUCUUCAUUUAAUCUUGAUCAAAAAUGAGUGCACAUGCUUUAUUCAUGAGCUUUAGUGACUCAGUGCAUUGCAUAGUCUUUAUAAUAUUUUGUACUUUUUAAUUUAUGGAUGUGAAGUACAGCGUUUGGUUUUUGCAAUUUCUAAGAAGACCAAAUCAUGUCAAAUUAGAUUUUUGUCUUCACAGAAAACUAAAUAUUUUGUAUAAUCUCAAAAAAAAAGGUGAUUGUAAAAUCUAGGAUUAAGUUACAAUCAGUUUUAUAUUUGUAAUUCAGCCAGUUUAUCACUUAAUUCUAAAAAUUUCUGUUGUUAUUGCUUCUGGAUAUUUGGCAUUUUGAGUAACUUGCUUGUUGCUCAGGAGUCUUUGGAAAAUUACUGUAUGGAUGAAAAAAUUACUGCAUGGAUGAAAAGCCUCAUUCGUGAUAAAGUGCUGUGACAAAGAUUUAACUUCCAUUUACAUGCUUCAUUACUUCUGAGGUUUUAAUGAAAGACAUGAAGUGCAGUGGUAAUUCCAGUGUUGGCAUGUAGUGUCAGUGGUGAGUGAUAACACGUGGGCAGGGAGGAUCAGAGGAGCAGGGAGAGCCUGAGAGAGAGCUCUGUGCGAGGCAUGGCUUUUGUCCUACAGGAAUGUCACCGGGAGCAUGCCACGUAAUCUGGGCUGGAGUUUCAUUUUGGAGGUUGUUUGGGGAAGGGUGGUGGGGUUUAGGGCACUGCCAGUGGUUCUGCAGGGCAGGCAGUGCCACCCUGGCAGGGUCUGGCAUGCAGGGAAGGAUUGCUGUGGCAGCAGCACCCGAGUGCUGGCAGAGGUCACAUCCAGUGUCAUGGAUUCCAUGGCUGUUCCACAGCCAUUCUCUUAUUCAUGGUCUAGGUAAGGUGCACCCUCACUGAGCAGUUUUCUGUGCUUGAUCUGAGGCCUGUGGAAAAGUCAGGAGCUUCUGUGCUAGUGAGAAAUUGGAACACAACUGUUUUUUGUUCUUGCUGUUCCUAAAACUUGCCUCGAGCACCCCCAGCCUUUCCCACUGCAGUUCUCACUUGGCUCCGUGCAGCGCAGCGAUGGCAGAGAUUUGAGUCAUCUGCAGCUUGCAGAUUUCUCACUUGCAGGUGAAACAGUAGCAAAGGAAUUAGACUGAAGUGGUAGCUAGCUACUAAGUUAUUCAGGACUUCAGGAAGAGAAUACUGCAUGGGUUCUUGUGUUUGAAAGGCUUGUUCCUUGCUUUUUUUUGCAUUUAAAGACAAGACCUUUUUGGAUAAGGGCAUAGAUUCUUCAGUCUCAGUGCCAUAGAGCUGCUCACAGUAAGUUACCUGACCUGGCAGCCUCAGCUGUGGGGGGAUUUUGUUGCUGGAGGUGUUGGCAGAGCAUUUCCAGCUGUCUGAGGCUCGGGUUCUUGGUGAUUUGGCUUUGCUGCAGCUGAACCAAUGGGUUAUGUUGUAGAUGACUGCUGCUCUUAGUCCUUUUUUUUUCUUCAGCCUUAUCACUAUUACAUGUUGUCACUGGUUUUGACAACAAAUAAAAAUAUAGGCUUCACCAGUAAUGGCAUACUCAUAAUUUUUUAAAAUCCAGUCUUAACCCUGAUAAAUGCUGCUUUGUGCAAUUUGGGCUGUAGUUACAGUGCUGCUGCUGUAGAAAUGUCCUUUGUAUUUGUGGGCAACAAAAGCAGGAGUGUGGAACUUGUUCAGGUCAGGCUGAUGUCCUUGUCCAGAGCAGGAAGGAAAGCUUUAAUGCAUGUUAGGGGAACAAACUCUCAUGAGUUGUUGCAGUGGGGGAGAUUGAAG